AGAACGAACGCUGGCGGCAGGCUUAACACAUGCAAGUCGAGCGCCCCGCAAGGGGAGCGGCAGACGGGUGAGUAACGCGUGGGAACAUACCCUCCGGUUCGGAAUAGCUCAGGGAAACUUGGAUUAAUACCGGAUACGGCCUAGCGGCGAAAGAUUCAUCGCCGGAGGAUUGGCCCGCGUUCGAUUAGCUAGUUGGUGAGGUAACGGCUCACCAAGGCGACGAUCGAUAGCUGGUCUGAGAGGAUGAUCAGCCACAUUGGGACUGAGACACGGCCCAAACUCCUACGGGAGGCAGCAGUGGGGAAUAUUGGACAAUGGGCGCAAGCCUGAUCCAGCCAUGCCGCGUGAGUGAUGACGGCCUUAGGGUUGUAAAGCUCUUUCGCUAGGGACGAUAAUGACGGUACCUAGACAAGAAGCCCGGCUAACUUCGCGCCAGCAGCCGC
rnacentral:rRNA from 1 species